UACGGGGGGAGCAAGCGUUUGUUCGGAUUUACUGGGCGUAAAGGGCGCGUAGGCGGCCAGCACAAGUCAGUUGUGAAAUCUCCGAGCUUAACUCGGAAAGGUCAACUGAUACUGUGCGGCUAGAGUGCGGAAGGGGCAACUGGAAUUCUUGGUGUAGCGGUGAAAUGCGUAGAUAUCAAGAGGAACACCUGCGGCGAAGGCGGGUUGCUGGGCCGACACUGACGCUGAGGCGCGAAAAGCAUGGGGGAGCGAUCCGG
rnacentral:rRNA from 1 species